UACACCCAACAUUUUGCAGCUUAUAAUAUACGUAAGGUAUAUCAGCCAAAUUCUUAUAUUCUCCAUUCAUAAUUCCCACAACUCAUUCUGCCGAGGAGGAGCUCAUGUUUUUUUUUUAAAACAGUCAAGCAGUUUCAUAGCUUCAACAUCAAAGCAAAUUCAUAUCUUUGAACAGAACAUCCCCAAGGCUUUGUGACCAGGGGGAUUAGCGCUGCUUUCCCAAGACAGGUUUAUAUGUGAUUAUGAUCUUCAGGCUUUGCCUAACCAGGUGGGCUUACUUUCCAAAUGUACAAAGUAUGAUUGAGUUAUUAAGCUCUAAAUGUUUCAAUGAAAUGCAAAUUGUUUAUUUAAUGUAAUGAAAACUGUUUAUCCAAUAAAAUGUUUAUGUGCACUCUGCUCUGUUUAAGGCUCGCAAUUCAUGGAUCGAUCGAGGUUCUCUUAUGGCCUAACACGUUAUUUGAGAAUUGUGUACACUUGUUAGUUGUUUCGGUGGGUUGAUCUCCAUCGGGCACUAAUUCAUGUAAGAGGCGUUAUAAGGGUGCUUGGCUGGAUGUGUUCCGGAGCAUGUAUCAUGUAAGGCCUGCCUGGGUAGCGUCCCGAGGUCAAUUCAACUUGUCUGAGUUACGUCCUCAGGGCAAGUGCAAUGGGAGAAAUGGAUCCGUCGGUGGCUAAAAGGUCCGGGAUCACAGCGAGUAACAGAAAGGGAGUGUGACAUGUGCGCACAAAUGAAAAAUGUUUUAACAUGCUUAGAAGUUAUUUCAUUUUAAAACCUUCUAAGUCAUGUCAAGUAUAAUUAGAUAAACUGCUCUUACGAAAAUAUGAAAUGUUUAUGAAAAUGCAUGCCCACUAAGUACAUUAGUACUUAGCCCAAAAAUACUUUCAAAUGUUUUCAGGUUGGUUGGCUGGUGCUGACAGGACGGAGCUGAGGCUAGAGUUAAAAUUCAUAUGUUAGACUUCCGCUGUAGCAAUUACUCUUAUACAUCUUUUGUUUUCUCAACUUAAGAUGACUUCAUGUCGAGCUUAAAUUUGAAAUUCUAGUUUUAUGCUAAUGAAUGUUGGUUGUCAGAAACAUGAAACAAAACUUGUGAUCCAAAGGGGCAUAGCCCGACUUUCUAUCUUAUUAUUCGGGUUUUAACAAGGUUGUUCCUUGUUUAUUUCUA